UCCUCCAGGACCCCGGUGCUGUGGCAAGCCCCGCCCCCUGGACACACCUGAGGCUCCAGACUGCAUAAGGGUUCGGUCAGAUCCUCAAACAUCCUGCAGACAGACAGCCUCCACAGGCUCUCCGUCUCCCUCUUCAGGCCGAGCAGAGAAUCGCUGCAGCUCUCAGUCAGCUUCAGGAUGCCGGAGUGGCUGUCAGACAACACCUGGACAGGCGGUCCAUGCGCUGGUCCAGAGCCCCCUGGUUCCUCUUCAGCGAAUCGGCCUCCAGCCUCAGGUUGUGGGCGUGGCCUG